AUUGAACGCUGGCGGCAGGCCUAACACAUGCAAGUCGAGCGGGGUUUUCGGACCUAGCGGCGGACGGGUGAGUAAUGCGUAGGAAGCUGCCCGAUAGAGGGGGAUACCAGUUGGAAACGACUGUUAAUACCGCAUAAUGUCUACGGACCAAAGUGUGGGACCUUCGGGCCACAUGCUAUCGUAAGCGCCUACGUGGGAUUAGCUAGUUGGUGAGGUAAUGGCUCACCAAGGCGACGAUCUCUAGCUGGUUUGAGAGGAUGAUCAGCCACCCUGGAACUGAGACACGGUCCAGACUCCUACGGGAGGCAGCAGUGGGGAAUAUUGGACAAUGGGCGCAAGCCUGAUCCAGCCAUGCCGCGUGUGUGAAGAAGGCCUUCGGGUUGUAAAGCACUUUCAGCGAGGAGGAAGGGAUGUAUGUUAAUAGCAUGCAUUUUCGACGUUACUCGCAGAAGAAGCACCGGCUAACUCUGUGCCAGCCGCCGCGGUAAAAC
rnacentral:rRNA from 1 species